rnacentral:rRNA from 1 species
CACGUAGGGUGCGAGCGUUGUCCGGAAUUAUUGGGCGUAAAGAGCUCGUAGGCGGUGUGUCGCGUCGGCUGUGAAAACCCGCAGCUCAACUGUGGGCUUGCAGCCGAUACGGGCGGGCUGGAGUUCGGUAGGGGAGACUGGAAUUCCUGGUGUAGCGGUGAAAUGCGCAGAUAUCAGGAGGAACACCGGUGGCGAAGGCGGGUCUCUGGGCCGAUACUGACGCUGAGGAGCGAAAGCGUGGGGAGCGAACAGG